rnacentral:rRNA from 1 species
UGAACGCUAGCGACAGGCUUAACACAUGCAAGUCGAGGGGCAGCAUGGCGGUAGCAUACUGCUGAUGGCGACCGGCGCACUGGUGAGUAACACGUAUGCAACCUGCCCCGCGCAGGGGGAUAAUCCGGGAGAAAUCUGGUCUAAUACCCCGUACGCCUCCUUGCCGCAUGGCAGGGAGGUGAAAGGAGCGAUCCGGCACGGGAUGGGCAUGCGGCGCAUUAGCUAGUCGGCGGGGUGACGGCCCACCGAGGCGACGAUGCGUAGGGGUUCUGAGAGGAAGGUCCCCCACACUGGUACUGAGACACGGACCAGACUCCUACGGGAGGCAGCAGUGAGGAAUAUUGGUCAAUGGACGGAGGUCUGAACCAGCCAAGUCGCGUGAGGGAUGACGGCCCUACGGGUUGUAAACCUCUUUUGCGGGGGAGCAAAGUGGGCCACGCGUGGCCCAUUGCGAGUACCCCGAGAAAAAGCAUCGGCUAAUUCCGUGCC